rnacentral:rRNA from 1 species
UACGAAGGGGGCUAGCGUUGCUCGGAAUGACUGGGCGUAAAGGGCGCGUAGGCGGUUUGUACAGUCAGGUGUGAAAUUCCCGGGCUCAACCUGGGGGCUGCACUUGAUACGUAUGGACUGGAGUGGGGAAGAGGGUCGUGGAAUUCCCAGUGUAGAGGUGAAAUUCGUAGAUAUUGGGAAGAACACCGGUGGCGAAGGCGGCGAGCUGGUCCAUUACUGACGCUGAGGCGCGACAGCGUGGGGAGCAAACAGG